rnacentral:rRNA from 1 species
AUACGUAGGGGGCGAGCGUUGUCCGGAAUGAUUGGGCGUAAAGGGCGCGUAGGCGGCGCGGUAAGUCUGGAGUGAAAGUCCUGCUUUCAAGGUGGGAAUUGCUUUGGAUACUGCCGCGCUUGAGUGCAGGAGAGGUUAUCGGAAUUCCCGGUGUAGCGGUGAAAUGCGUAGAGAUCGGGAGGAACACCAGUGGCGAAGGCGGGUAACUGGACUGCAACUGACGCUGAGGCGCGAAAGUGUGGGGAGCAAACAGGAUUAGAUACCCUGGUAGUCCACACUGUAAACGAUGAAUGCUAGGUGUAAGAGGUAUCGACCCCUUUUGUGCCGGAGUCAACACAAUAAGCAUUCCGCCUGGGGAGUAC